rnacentral:misc_RNA from 1 species
CCGAGUUUACAACUCCCAAACCCAAUGUGAACGCUACCAAACUGUUGCCUCGGCGGGAUCUCUGCCCCCGGGUGCGUCGCCAGCCCCGGACCAAGGCGCCCGCCGGAGGACCAACCAAAACUCUUAUUGUAUACCCCCUCGCGGGUUCUUUUAUAAUCUGAGCCUUCUCGGCGCCUCUCGUAGGCGUUUCGAAAAUGAAUCA